CCCUUUGGGUGUGACUGCGUACCUUUUGUAUAAUGGGUCAGCGACUUAUAUUCUGUAGCAAGGUUAACCGAAUAGGGGAGCCGGAGGGAAACCGAGUCUUAACCGGGCGUUAAGUUGCAGGGUAUAGACCCGAAACCCGGUGAUCUAGCCAUGGGCAGGUUGAAGGUUGGGUAACACUAACUGGAGGACCGAACCGACUAAUGUUGAAAAAUUAGCGGAUGACCUGUGGCUGGGGGUGAAAGGCCAAUCAAACCGGGAGAUAGCUGGUUCUCCCCGAAAGCUAUUUAGGUAGCGCCUCGUGAAUUCAUCUCCGGGGGUAGAGCACUGUUUCGGCUAGGGGGCCAUCCCGGCUUACCAACCCGAUGCAAACUGCGAAUACCGGAGAAUGUUAUCACGGGAGACACACGGCGGGUGCUAACGUCCGUCGUGAAGAGGGAAACAACCCAGACCGCCAGCUAAGGUCCCAAAGUCAUGGUUAAGUGGGAAACGAUGUGGGAAGGCCCAGACAGCCAGGAUGUUGGCUUAGAAGCAGCCAUCAUUUAAAGAAAGCGUAAUAGCUCACUGGUCGAGUCGGCCUGCGCGGAAGAUGUAACGGGGCUAAACCAUGCACCGAAGCUGCGGCAGCGACACUGUGUGUUGUUGGGUAGGGGAGCGUUCUGUAAGCCUG
rnacentral:rRNA from 1 species